UGUUUAACAAAAACAUCGCCUUUAGCCUCACAAGUAUUAAAGGUCCCGCCUGCCCAGUGAAUAAUUUUUAACGGCCGCGGUAUCCUAACCGUGCAAAGGUAGCGUAAUCACUUGUCCCCUAAAUAGGGACCNGUAUGAAUGGCUAACUGAGGGCACACNUGUNUCCUGGCGCCAACUAAUGAAACUGAUCUACUGGUACAAAAGCCAGAAUUACCCCACAAGACGAGAAGACCCUGUGGAGCUUUUAACACCCCCCACUACUAGUCGCACCAUCCAACUACACGCACAACUAGCUAGCGGGCGGUUUAAGUUGGGGCGACUACGGAGCACAACAAACCCUCCAAGAAAUAUAAGGCUAGCCCCCCACUAUUAGGCACACACGCCAACAAGGUACCACCCUUCGACCCAGUAUAACUGAUCACCGAACCAAGUUACCCCAGGGAUAACAGCGCUAUCCCCCUCCAGAGUCCAUAUCACCAGGGGGGUUUACGACCUCGAUGUUGGAUCAGGGCGCCCCGGCGGUGCAGCCGCUGCCAAAGGCCCGUUUGUUCAACGGUUAAUGUCCUACGUGAUCUGAG
rnacentral:rRNA from 1 species